AAUAAAUAAAUAAAAUAAAUCGUUUAGUUUUUUAUUUUUUUAUCUUAAAGCCAGAUUGCAAGCUUCUCUGUUGUUCUAAGAGUUUCACUCGCUUAGCAGACUUUUUUCUAAAAGAUAAGGGUAUACUUUAUGCAUUUAAAGCUGGAGAGCAGACCAAUCACACUGCUGGCGCCUCUGCGCAUUGCCUCCCACGCUGCCGCUGCUUGAGCUUUAAAAUUUACCAUAGCGUGGAUCACACGCGUCUCCUUUCACUCAAACUGGACACAGACUGACCUGUGCAGUGAUGGCAUAGUUACUUUGAAAAAUGACUUAGUUAGAUUACUGAUUAUUUGAUUUAGAAAGUAACUAAGUUACAUUAAAAGUAACUUUUUUAGUUACUUUCAGCAGCUGCUAACAGUCCGCCACCUGUCAAAAUUAUAUUGAUCUUUGCCAAUACUUAACUGUAAGUUAUUUUAAAAUGGUAACAACAAUAUUGUUGAUGUUACCAUUUUAAAAUACUGUUACCAUUAUAAAAGUGGAGACACAUAUCUCCACUUAUAAGGUUGAACUAAUGGUUACAACAACACAAAAAUAACUUUUGUAAUUUGUGUGUUCCAGUAUUGUCUGGAAAACUAUAAAUAGGAUUUUAGACCCCCCUGUCCGCCGCCCCAGGGUCCAGGUUGUGCUUUACGGCCCUGCGUUUGGUGUCACAGCCCAGCUCACAGAGCUCCUCCUGCAGCUCCACAGCUCAGUUGUCCCGCUGCACAGAUUUGUGACACUUAUCUUAAUAUUAAUAAUUAUAAUGGCAUUUAGUUGCACAACUUUACGGACUCGUUCAUUCGUGGCUGUUUUCAUGUUUACUGCGCUGUUCAUAUUAGUCUCGAUGUUUUCUGGAGCGCAAUGCAGAGCUCGAUGUAAUUCACAGGUAAUAUAUUAACUUAACAUUAACAAAGAUGCAACGCGAUGGAUCAUCCGGGAAAUGAUGGUCAGGCAGAGUCUGACUGAAACUAACUGGAUGUCAGACAAAUUCUGGGGUUUAUGUCUGCUUACUUCCAAGCCUAAAAAGUGCAACCCGCGACUCAUUAAAUUUGCAAGUGACUUUAAAAAAAA